rnacentral:rRNA from 1 species
ACUGCAUCAAAUAUACCGGUUCUCGUUAGAUCACCGGAGUCAAGCAUCAUUGGGCGCGGUCAGUACUAGGGUGGGUGACCACCUGCGAAUACCUG